GGGCAAAUCAAUGGCCGGUACUUGUUGCUCUUAUUGAACCUGUGUUGGAAGGGGGCAUGGAAUUACAAUUAUAGGAAUGCCAAGGUCUGUUUUCUAUUUUAGACUUGAUAACUUGACUUAGAAGGAAUGAAAAGUUUUUUUCUCAGGAAAAAAGUUUAAAUAGAGGGGGGAGCGUUAGCUGGAAGAGUGUAAAUGACAAGGUUAAUUUUAGGCAGUAAUAUACAAAUGUGUCUAGGAAAAACAGAAACUACAAACUGGUUUGUUUAGGCAGGGAUAUCAGAUAUUAGGGAGAUAUUGAGAUUGUUAACCAACACCAGUCGUAAGCUUUCACAUGUUCAUAUGUCAGUAAAUUAAUUAACCGAUGUUUUACUGUGCUAGGGUGUUAAUUUAUUAUGACGUUAUUUCAAUGUUGGCAACAGUGAAGAGAUAUCACGCAGAGUUAUGUUUCUUGGUACUGUUGUAUACAUUGAAGUACUGAUUAAUUUUAACAAAACUCGGCAGCAUAAUGGUUUUUUUCUGUUGUUGACAAGGUCUGUACAGAUAUAAUUAAGGAGGCAUAUGUACAGACGAAGUAUUUUUAUGAUGAUAAAAAUGUUAAAAAUACCAAUUUAAAAAAAUAAUAAAAUAUUGAGAAA
rnacentral:misc_RNA from 1 species